GACGAACGCUGGCGGCAUGCCUAAUACAUGCAAGUCGAGCGAACAGAUGAAGUGCUUGCACUUCUGACGUUAGCGGCGAACGGGUGAGUAACACGUAAGGAAUCUACCUAUAAGCGGGGGAUAACAUUCGGAAACGGGUGCUAAUACCGCAUAAUAUCUUCUUCCGCAUGGAUGAAGAUUGAAAGACGGCUCUGCUGUCACUUAUAGAUGACCUUGCGGUGCAUUAGUUAGUUGGUGGGGUAACGGCCUACCAAGACGAUGAUGCAUAGCCGACCUGAGAGGGUGAUCGGCCACGUUGGGACUGAGACACGGCCCAAACUCCUACGGGAGGCAGCAGUAGGGAAUCUUCCGCAAUGGGCGAAAGCCUGACGGAGCAAUGCCGCGUGAGUGAAGAAGGCCUUCGGGUCGUAAAACUCUGUUAUAAGAGAAGAACAAAUUGUAGAGUAACUGCUACAGUCUUGACGGUAUCUUAUCAGAAAGCCACGGCUAACUACGUGCCAGCCGCCGCAGUAA
rnacentral:rRNA from 1 species